CGCCUGCAACCAUGCAACCAGAAACACAAUUAUAUAAAACAAAUAGACUUGGGACAAAAAAUUAGGAUUUAGUUAAAUAUUCUGUGUUGCGUUGAACUAAAUAUUGAAAGUGAUGUGUGUACAGUUUCACUCAUUCGAUGAUUUGAACCGACGUGUUCUAAAAAUCGGCCUAGGCGGCACCUAGGCGCUAGGCGGUGGAGCGCCGCCGGGAUUUAUGCCAAAGCGUUCAUCAAAUCGAGUGUAGUAAGCCGCCUAGGCGCUAUCUAGGCGGUGGUAGGCGGUGGUAGGCGGUGGUAGGCGGCGGUCUAGGCAGCCUCGUAAGAACCUCGGCGAUUUUCCAUCUCACUGCGAUCUGACAAGAAGAGAGAAAGGGGACUGGAAAUUUUGGCGAUACAUACAAACCCCAUUGAUCGUUCAAAGAAUCCACCUCAGAUUUCUUCUGCUGCUUGACCAGCGGGCCAAGUUGAUGUUGUUUGAUCGUUCUGGAUUUUGGGAUGAAAGUUGAGGGUUAGCGGGGAAGAGAUCUGAUGAUAGGAAAUGCCUCUUGAUUCUAAAACAGAGAGGAGAGCAAGCAGCUUCUCUUUGUUGAAAAAAAAAAGUGUAGGCGGUGGAAACAAGGCGUUGGGCGAUGGAAACGAGGGUUUGAAUGCGGAAUUGGAAACGAGGCUGGCUUUCCAUAAAGACUUUUUAUAUUAACAUUCCACAAAAUGUUAAAUGUAUCUCAUAUUAAAAUUUAAUAUUAAUGACUUAUUUACUUUACUAUGUAAUGAAAAUUUUAACCUUAUUAGAUUUAAAUAAUAAUAAAAAAUUUAUAAAUACACUACAAAUCUCUUUUAACGUAUUAUUUAUUUAUUUCAACUAUCAAAGUCUCUAUCAUUCUCCAUUGUUGAAUAAAACCCUAAGCAAUGAAACUAUAAACAUGUUGAUUGAGAAAAAUUAUUUUUGACAAAUGGAACACGAAAUCAGUGUUUCGAAAGUUUUGAAAUCAUUAUUAU
rnacentral:lncRNA from 1 species